rnacentral:rRNA from 1 species
UAAGGUGACAUAGUUGAUAACCCGCCCUUAAGWGGGGGGGGACAKUKGGAAACAGAUGMUAAUACCGCAUAGAGACAAGAACCGCAUGGUUYUUGGYUGAAAGAKRGCGUAAGCUAUCGMUUUKGGAWGGACCCGCGGCGUAUUAGCUAGUUGGUGAGGUAAWGGCUCACCAAGGCGAUGAUACGUAGCCGAACUGAGAGGUUGAUCGGCCACAUUGGGAMUGAGACACGGCCCAAACUCCUACGGGAGGCAGCAGUAGGGAAUYUUCCMCAAUGGACGCAAGUCUGAUGGAGCAACGCCGCGUGAGUGAAGAAGGCUUUCGGGUCGUAAAACUCUGUUGUUGGAGAAGAAUGGUCGGCAGAGUAACUGUUGYCGGCGUGACGGUAUCCAACCAGAAAGCCACGGCUAACUACGUGCCAGCAGCCGCGGUAAUACGUAGGUGGCAAGCGUUAUCCGGAUUUAUUGGGCGUAAAGCGAGCGCAGGCGGUUUUUUAAGUCUGAUGUGAAAGCCCUCGGCUUAACCGAGGAAGCGCAUCGGAAACUGGGAAACUUGAGUGCAGAAGAGGACAGUGGAACUCCAUGUGUAGCGGUGAAAUGCGUAGAUAUAUGGAAGAACACCAGUGGCGAAGGCGGCUGUCGGUCUGUAACKACGCKAGGYCGAAAGCAKGKKG